GGCAUCGGGAUGCCGUACACCGCCUUUUCCUGCAAACAAGCGAACAAACAAAAAGGCUUUGGCGGCGAUCGCAACGCGCUUCCGGAGGCCGAGGUCCUCGGUAGUGUCGUGGGACACGUGGAGUGCUUUGAUACGUCUUUUAUGCCCUUUGUCCAGACGGACUGAUGAGUCUACGGAUUGCUAAAGAGAGGAAAGUAUGGAUGGAAGCGUGGACGGAUGGAAGGAUUGUUGGAAACGGAUGAGUGUCGGCCGGUCGGACGCCUGCAACCUUUGACGAAUUCAUUGACGACCGGCUGGACAGAUUGUCGGAUCGUGAAGGACGAACGGACGGAAGGGACGGACGCGUGUCUGGAGGCGAUUACAUGGAAGAAGCGGACGGGCACGGUCUUGGAUCUGGAGACCCCGUGCAGGCUCUCGUUCCCGUUAUCUGCAGACAAGAGUUUCAAACCAUUUGCGCGUCCCACCCGGGGAGGAACUCUCACGAGGAACCGGAUGCCGUCAAUGCGCGUUUCUGAAAGCUCCCGAUCAUCAUCAUCGUUUCUCCAAAAAACACAAUCCCAGUGGGCUGGACGAGCUGGAUGACUCCAUGGCGAGAGGCGCGUGAAUGGGAGAGUUCUCUCUGGAUCCGGGCCCCUUUCUAGAAGCGUCAGGCUG